UACGUAGGGUGCGAGCGUUGUCCGGAAUUAUUGGGCGUAAAGAGCUCGUAGGCGGUUUGUUGCGUCUAUCGUGAAAACCUGCAGCUUAACUGUGGGCUUGCGGUGGAUACGGGCAGACUUGAGUUCGGCAGGGGAGACUGGAAUUCCUGGUGUAGCGGUGAAAUGCGCAGAUAUCAGGAGGAACACCGGUGGCGAAGGCGGGUCUCUGGGCCGAUACUGACGCUGAGGAGCGAAAGCGUGGGGAGCGAACAGG
rnacentral:rRNA from 1 species